rnacentral:misc_RNA from 1 species
GAUGAAGAACGUAGCGAAAUGCGAUAAGUAAUGCGAAUUGCAGAAUUCCAGUGAAUCAUCGAGUCUUUGAACGCACAUUGCGCCCCCUGGUAUUCCGGGGGGCAUGCCUGUCCGAGCGUCAUUGCUGCCCUCAAGCACGGCUUGUGUGUUGGGCCCCCGUCCCCCCCUCCCGGGGGACGGGCCCGAAAGGCAGCGGCGGCACCGCGUCCGGUCCUCGAGCGUAUGGGGCUUUGUCACCCGCUCUGUAGGCCCGGCCGGCGCCUGCCGACCACCAUCAAUCUUUUUUCAGGUUGACCUCGGAUCAGGUAGGGAUACCCGCUGAACUUAAGCAUAUCAAUAAGCGGAGGA